AGAGUUUGAUCCUGGCUCAGAACGAACGCUGGCGGCGUGCCUAACACAUGCAAGUCGAACGUGAUCCGGAGCUUGCUCCGGUGAAAGUGGCGCACGGGUGAGUAACGCGUGGAUAAUCUGCCUGAUGCUCUGGGAUAACAUCUCGAAAGGGGUGCUAAUACCGGAUAAGCCCACGGGGUCUUCGGACCUUGCGGGAAAAGAGGGGGACCUUCGGGCCUCUUGACAUCAGAUGAGUCCGCGUCCCAUUAGCUAGUUGGUGGGGUAAAGGCCUACCAAGGCGACGAUGGGUAGCUGGUCUGAGAGGAUGAUCAGCCACACUGGAACUGAGACACGGUCCAGACUCCUACGGGAGGCAGCAGUGGGGAAUUUUGCGCAAUGGGGGAAACCCUGACGCAGCAACGCCGCGUGAGUGAUGAAGGCCUUCGGGUCGUAAAGCUCUGUCAGAGGGAAAGAAAUGUGGGCAGCUAAUAUCUGUUCCACUUGACGGUACCCUCAGAGGAAGCACCGGCUAACUCCGUGCCAGCAGCCGCGGUAAUACGGAGGGUGCGAGCGUUGUUCGGAAUUAUUGGGCGUAAAGCGCGUGUAGGCGGUUUGCUCAGUCUGAUGUGAAAGCCCUGGGCUCAACCUGGGAAGUGCAUUGGAUACUGGCAGACUUGAGUACGGGAGAGGGUAGUGGAAUUCCCAGUGUAGGAGUGAAAUCCGUAGAUAUUG
rnacentral:rRNA from 1 species